rnacentral:misc_RNA from 1 species
GUGAAUCAUCGAAUCUUUGAACGCAUAUUGCGCUCGAGGCUUCGGCCAAGAGCAUGUCUGCCUCAGCGUCGGGUUAAUACUCGCUCACUCCACACCACUGCGGAGCGCAGCGGACCUGGCUAUCCCAGCCCAACUCUGUUGGUGCUGGGUUGGCUGAAGAGAAGAGAUUGAUGCAAUGGACCCGUUAAGGGCCUCGGCUUUGGUAGUGCAACUCGUUGCUCAAUGCUAACAGCUGACGGCUUGGGACCGUGCCUGUCAAUCCAAACCAGGAAAAUAUAUAUUAACCAUUUUCUCGACCUG